CCUCUAUUUCUUGGCAUACAUGUAGUUGCUCAGUACUCAUGUUUGUGAUGUCAGGAGGUAAAGCAGGGCCAGUGCUAUGUCUUUGGGUGCCAGUAUGUUCAGAGUAUGCUGGUCCUGUCCGCAAUCACUGAAAGAAUU